GAUGAACGCUGGCGGCGUGCCUAAUACAUGCAAGUCGAGCGAAUGGAUUAAGAGCUUGCUCUUAUGAAGUUAGCGGCGGACGGGUGAGUAACACGUGGGUAACCUGCCCAUAAGACUGGGAUAACUCCGGGAAACCGGGGCUAAUACCGGAUAACAUUUUGAACCGCAUGGUUCGAAAUUGAAAGGCGGCUUCGGCUGUCACUUAUGGAUGGACCCGCGUCGCAUUAGCUAGUUGGUGCGGUAACGGCUCACCAAGGCAACGAUGCGUAGCCGACCUGAGAGGGUGAUCGGCCACACUGGGACUGGGACACGGCCCAGACUCCUACGGGAGGCAGCAGUAGGGAAUCUUCCGCAAUGGACGAAAGUCUGACGGAGCAACGCCGCGUGAGUGAUGAAGGCUUUCGGGUUGUAAAACUCUGUUGUUAGGGAAGAACAAGUGCUAGUUGAAUAAGCUGGCACCUUGACGGUACCUAACCAGAAAGCCACGGCUAACUACGUGCCAGCCGCCGCUGUAA
rnacentral:rRNA from 1 species